rnacentral:lncRNA from 1 species
AGCAUGGACACAUUCACAAGCUAAUGAUCUCAUGAGGAUAAAGACAGAGGUAACAUCUUCCAAAAGUGGCGAUGCCCAAAGGAUCCCAGUCACUGCUUCCUGGGGAAGUGAAGAUAACAAUCCUCUCUGGCCCUCCUUUGAGAAACAGUUCUUUUGCCCCCUUGGAUUUGUUCCUUUAGAAAAUCCUGGGGCAGGUGACCUAUAGCCUUAAAGAACAGGCUUAUCACAGCAGAGCCAUCUGCCGCUUUCUGGUUCUCAUCUUGCAAGAGUUACAUAAAAUAAAAUCCCCUAAGCUGGAAUCCAACAACAGGUACGUUGAUGCACUUCUUUUCUCAAAAGUUGAAGCCCUGGCUUUGUCCGCAUUUCCAUAGCAGGGGAAACUGAGUGUUGUGCUGGAGGUUAGUAACGUGUACCUCAUGGGCAAAGACAUGCUGCUAGUUUGGGGGUUGUAGAAGAUAAACUGAUAUUUUGGUGGAAAUUGAAAGCAGAAAUUUGAGUUCUGCUUUACAGUUAAAAUUAACUGGAUUGGGGGAGGGGCAGCAUGUGAAAACAUGUGAACACUGGGAAUUGAGGCAAUUUAAAUGACUUUAAGUCAGUAAUUGUUCUAAGUCAGUAGUAUUUCCAAACAAAUUGGAGGUUUUUUGGUUUUGUUUUGUUUUGUUUUUUAAUUUGUAAUAAGUUUCCCUGAUACUUUUAUUAACGAUCCAGAAACACAUCACUAAACCCUAAACAUGCCAUGUAUUUAAGAGUACGAAUGGAAUUCAUAUAUUUUUGUCAGUAGGCUAUUUGGAAGAGUUUGGAUUUUGUUUCCCUUAUUUUGCUUUCUGAGAUGGUCUCUUGUUCUAUAUGUAGCUCAGGCUGGCCCCCCCACUCUAGAUCUUCCUGCUUUAGCCCCCAGAAUGCAGGCGUCUCGGAUAAUAUGGCACAGCUCCAGACCAGGAGCUCAGAUUCUUCUUCUUUCUACACAAUAAUGGGUCUCAUUGUGACAUUUUUUUUAAAUGACAUAUUUCAUCUAGCCCUUUCUCUAAAAGGUCCCUCAUUUCAAAUUUGAGUUUGAGCAUUAUAUCCCAGGCUGGUUUAAAGCAGGUCUCACUCUCCUGCUGGCCAAUUUGUGUAUCAUUUGGGAACUCCUUGGAAGCUGCCUGACUGGCUUUGAACACUGGACUCUUCCACACUGUUCAGGUCUAUCCUGAGUACCUAAGAUGUCAUCAUCAUAAAUGAAAUAGAGAAGUGUCUUUGACUUUGCUGUCAAGACUUUUUGUUGCUGCUUGAACAAAAGAAGCGCCUAUUCAAACUGCAGUUUUAGAGUUCAGGUGACAUCCGGCCUGUGAAGCCUGCAAGUAUCUCAGACCUAGCAUCCAGCUGUUUCCUGUGACUCUCACCUCCAUUCCCCAGACCACUGAGCCGAGCCUGUGUGUGCAGCACAGCAUAGCUACUUGAGUAGUUCGUGCCAACUGCUUCUGGCUAAUGUUUGGUUUAGCUAUUUUAACAAAACAAAAAAACUGAGUGUCUGCUGCUGUGUCAUUUACUACCAGUUUUUUGUUUUUUUGUUUUUUGUUUUUUUUUUUUUUUUUUUUUAUUUCGAGAGGUGUAAUUUAAAAGGGUUUACACUGCCCAAAUUAAAGAAAAAAAAUAAUUUAUAAAAGAUGACUGCUAAAAUUAGGAAUUCAUAAUUAACAGUAAGUUUGAGGACUUAUUUUUACAAGUUGGGUCUUGCUUUGUGAUCCUAAAACAAGCCUUGACAUGCUAAUGUUUUGUUUUGAGACCAGAGGUCUUGAGGCUCUGGGCUAGCCUUGAACUUGCCAUAUAGCUAAGGAAGACCAGAAUUCCUGAUCCUCCUGUCUGACUGAGAUUACACUUAGCACCAUGAAGCCUGGCUUGAUGUGGACUGUAGGAAAAUUACCCCAUUCAAUACAGGAUGUGACUAUCCCUUAUGUCAUCCUUACCUUUGAGAUAGUUCUGGAAUUGCAGGCCUUUCUGCCGGAAGUGGCUUUCUGUUAUGAUUGUUUAUGAGGUUUCUUUGUCGCCAUAACUCACACUUUGACAAGUAAUUUUUGGGUUUUUUGUUUGUUUUUUGAAAAAGGGUCUCACUGUGUAUCCUUGACUGGCUCGGAGCUCAGUAUGUACACCAUGAUACCCUGGAACGCAGAGAUUUACCUGUCUCUGCCUCCCAAAUACUGGAAUUAAAGGCGUGCACCACCACACCUGACUAGUAAUUUUGCUGUAAAUAUUAACGGGGUUUGAGCUUCACAUUCCAAGGAAGGGAGGGAGGGGUCCUGGUGUCCAUGUUUAGUGAUUAAAGGUUUCUGGGUCUCCCCCCACCUUAGGACUCUUCCCUGGUCAUAUAUUAAUGAUUUUUGAGACUUCUUCGUCUUUAUAAAUUUAGCGGGCUGCAUUUUGCAUGUGAAAGUUUAAAGAAACUUGCCCCGUCUUUUUCCGAUUUCAGGUUGUGGUGCUUUCGAUAAGCUUCUCGGAGUUUGCCAGCAGCUUUAGAAAGCAUCAUCACCUGAAACUGCAAAGAUUUUGUUUACCUACGGGGAGCACGCAGAGCCCAGAUGACGCUGUCUUUGCAGUCAAACUUUUACAGGUGGACCCUGUCAGUCUGCCCAGUUCAUUUUUUGUGUCAGGACCGUAGCUGAGUCAAAACAUCUUUUAGGGUAAAAUGCCCUGUGUUACAAAUUGGACUGAGCUGCGACACAGGCUUCCUGCCAGGAUUGCAGACUUGGGUAAUCCAGAGAAAUGUGUAUUGUUGGUAGUUUCUGGUGGUUUAGUUUAUGCUUAAGUUAAAAAGCAGCAUUGCUAAGGUGUUGUGUCUUGAUUUUGAGCUGCUCCAGGGUAAACCUCCUGUUAGCAGUGAGGUUUGAUAACAUGUUUUUAAAACCAUUUGUGGAAUAUUAACACUAGUGUUCUGAUUGCAGCUUUAAAUCAGUCGGAUUUAUGAAUAACUUCAUUGCUUAGGUUGUCAAACAGGAAUU